GAUGAACGCUGGCGGCGUGCUUAACACAUGCAAGUCGAACGGAAAGGCUCCUGCUUGCAGGGGUACUCGAGUGGCGAACGGGUGAGUAACACGUGGGUGAUCUGCCCUGCACUUCGGGAUAAGCCUUGGAAACUGGGUCUAAUACCGGAGAGGACCACAUUUUGGACGGUGUUGUGGAAAGUUUGUCGGUGUUGGAUGAGCUCGCGGCCUAUCAGCUUGUUGGUGGGGUAAUGGCCUACGAAGGCGUCGACGGGUAGCCGGCCUGAGAGGGUGUACGGCCACAUUGGGACUGAGAUACGGCCCAGACUCCUACGGGCGGCAGCAGUGGGGAAUAUUGCACAAUGGGCGCAAGCCUGAUGCAGCGACGCCGCGUGGGGGAUGACGGCCUUCGGGUUGUAAACUCCUUUCGCUAGGGACGAAGCGCAAGUGACGGUACCUGGAGAAGAAGCACCGGCUAACUACGUG
rnacentral:rRNA from 1 species